CGCGUAGGUAAUCUACCCUUAUACCUGGGAUAACAUUGGGAAACUGGUGCUAAUACCGGAUGGUCUUCUUUGCUGCGGGGCAGAGGAGUAAAGGUGGCCUCUUCAUGAAAGCUACCGUACAGGGAUGAGCCUGCGUACCAUUAGCUAGUAGGCGGGGUAACGGCCCACCUAGGCAACGAUGGUUAGCGGGUCUGAGAGGAUGAUCCGCCACACUGGAACUGGAACACGGACCAG
rnacentral:rRNA from 1 species